ACGCUCGACACCUACGAGCAGCAGUGGGGAAUAUUGCACAAUGGGGGAAACCCUGAUGCAGCGACGCCGCGUGAGCGAAGAAGUAUUUCGGUAUGUAAAGCUCUAUCAGCAGGGAAGAAACUGACGGUACCUGACUAAGAAGCACCGGCUAAAUACGUGCCAUCAGCCGCGGUAAUCUGAGCGGGCUGGCAAGGC
rnacentral:rRNA from 1 species